GUCAGUUUGGCCGAGUGGUUAAGGCGUUAGACUUGAACUACCUGGACUACGUCCUCAAUGUCUCAUAAUCUAAUGGGUUCGCCCGCGUAGGUUCGAACCCUGCAGCUGACG
rfam:Penicillium griseofulvum strain PG3 contig_80, whole genome shotgun sequence.